GCCCAGCACCCAAUUGGGGCUCAUGGAGGGGGACAGAUAUCUUUCUCAUCUCUCUGUCUGCUGAGUGCAGCAUCUGGCCGGGGGCUGUAGGGGGGAUCUCUGUGUUUGCUGUGCCCAGCACAGUCACUCUGUGAGCUCUGUGACCUCAGGCUCAUCACAGACAUCCUUGAGCUACUGAUCACUGGAUUAUGAUCAGGAACAACUAACCUACCUCUUUGCUCUGCCCUACCUAAGUCUGGCCUCGAACAUGCAGAUCACCUCAUAGCCCAAGAUAACUGCUGGAGCACCAACCAUCAUAUCUUCAUCCCACGUGGAAUGCAGAAGGAAGAAGAAAUGGGUAAAAAGAGCUUUCAUCAGCUGUGUCCUCCUUAUUGAGCUUUUCACAAAGCACCCUCAUCGACUUCUCCCAUGUCUCAUUGAUUAGAAUACAGUCACAUGCCACAUCUGGCUGCAAGGGAGAUUGGGAAAUAUAGUCUUCGGCCAGACACACUUCUGCCCAGAAUAAAAGCAAGGUUUCACUGGAAGGGAAGGAGGGAGAAACACAUAGCAUGGCAGCCACAAUCUCUGGUACACCGUCUCUUACUGUUCUCUUCUCCGCUUACCAAUCUCCCACACCCCUCUGUGUUGUAUACAACAAAAUUCAGACUCCUUGAUAUGACCUUCAGGCCCUUGGCUCUGACCUCUACUGCCCCAGCCGACACCCCCCAGGCUUCUGUCUCCUUUGUCCUUGUAUUCAGCCCAGACAUGAUUCCCCCUGGGUGAAAGGCGCAGAGUCACCCCGUGUCUCCUCUGCCAAGACGUUCUGAAGGAAUAGUUAUUGUGGUGCUUUCUAGAGCCGUGCGUGAUCCUGGGAAUUAUUAGCAACACUUAGAAACCAGUUUUGUUCAUUGCAGUGCAGUUGCCACCACUAUCCCUGCAAGGGCCUCCUCCUGCAGAGCCAGGCAGCUCCGAGUCGCUGUGGUGGGCCUCGCUAAGCCAUGAUCCCUGGCAGGGAGGAGCUGCUGGCUGCGUGGUCCCGGGUGAGAGACUGAAACAAGAGUCUUG